CUAUAACAACAACAUAGACGGAAUGUGCAGAAGUCUUGUUUGUUAGAGAAAAGUUACGAAAAGAAGGUAAACUUUGAAAGUACGAUUGCUGUCACAGUGUCGGAAUGAAUGACCCGACUUGACCCAGAUAUGAGACAGCCGAAACCAGGAAUGACAAGAGAACCGGUUACAGUUUAAUCCGGACAAGUUUAAUUAACAUCGUGUGUGCAUGUGGGAUUUCAGGAGGAUUUGUCAAACGCGGAGUGGACACAGUCAGAUUACGGGAGUUUGUUGAUAUUUUGAUGUGAUUCAUAAUGGUCGAAUACCUGUUGAUAGACAAACACGGUAUCUGGAGACUUGGUGCUAAGCUGUCCGCAUUCACGGAGUUCAUUUAGUUCAAUAUCGGACACAGGAUCAGCUCGCUGGGUUAUCGAUGUCAUCAUCGUUCACAAAGGCAAACCUGUCUAUACAAAGUCCGGUUUUUGGGUUCGGGUGGUCGAAAAAUUCAUCAAACAGCAAGCCCUCUAACACAGACGCAAACCAUGACUUGGUGGUGAUGAUCUUGGCGCCCUAGAAACAGUUUCUGGCAACAUCACAAUCUGAAUCUUGGAACUUCAAUCUGGCCAUAUGCAGUUUUGACAACAAAGACAUUAAAUGUGUUCAGAGGUUGAAAAAUAACUUUUCAUGUCAGUCAGAUCUCCGUCCGCUUUAACGAGGUCAUUUACUUUGACAGGUCUCAAAUGGCCAGCCAUGUUUGUUAACAAACGGGGACGUAGUUUUGGUUUUUACUGUAAAAUGAAAAUCAUGUGAAAUAAAUGAAAAAAAUGAUAA